rnacentral:rRNA from 1 species
UACGAAGGGGGCUAGCGUUGCUCGGAAUCACUGGGCGUAAAGCGCACGUAGGCGGAUUGUUAAGUCAGGGGUGAAAUCCUGGAGCUCAACUCCAGAACUGCCUUUGAUACUGGCGAUCUUGAGUUCGGGAGAGGUGAGUGGAACUGCGAGUGUAGAGGUGAAAUUCGUAGAUAUUCGCAAGAACACCAGUGGCGAAGGCGGCUCACUGGCCCGAUACUGACGCUGAGGUGCGAAAGCGUGGGGAGCAAACAGGG